ACUUUCCAAGAGAGAGAGAAAGAGAUAAAGAGAGAGUAACCUCUGAGUGAGGCAUCUGCAUCAAGCAUUUGCCACAGAUGAAGUGGGAUGCCUCAUUUAUCUGAGAAAAUGAGAAUGAGAAGAGAUCUUCAUAUGAUUCUGUAUUUUUGGCCACGCCCCAAUUGAUCCAGACAAACGUAAGGAUCCAUAAACCUCAGGGAGGGACGCUAUGUCCUACAAAAGUCAGACUCAAGCUUAUGGGAAUUCAGAAGAGCAGAAAGGAGGAAGAAGAAUCUCAGAAACUCAAGAUCUUGAUGACCAAGGUGAAUGCAAAAACUUUAUAUGCAUUUUUCUUUUCUUUUUUUCUUUCGUUCUUUUGUUAAGAAUUUGGUUUUGGAAGAUAAAGUUCCUUUUGCUUGUAGUU